rnacentral:rRNA from 1 species
GGCUCAGGACGAACGCUGGCGGCGUGCCUAAUACAUGCAAGUCGAGCGGACAGAUGGGAGCUUGCUCCCUGAUGUUAGCGGCGGACGGGUGAGUAACACGUGGGUAACCUGCCUGUAAGACUGGGAUAACUCCGGGAAACCGGGGCUAAUACCGGAUGGUUGUUUGAACCGCAUGGUUCAAACAUAAAAGGUGGCUUCGGCUACCACUUACAGAUGGACCCGCGGCGCAUUAGCUAGUUGGUGAGGUAACGGCUCACCAAGGCAACGAUGCGUAGCCGACCUGAGAGGGUGAUCGGCCACACUGGGACUGAGACACGGCCCAGACUCCUACGGGAGGCAGCAGUAGGGAAUCUUCCGCAAUGGACGAAAGUCUGACGGAGCAACGCCGCGUGAGUGAUGAAGGUUUUCGGAUCGUAAAGCUCUGUUGUUAGGGAAGAACAAGUACCGUUCGAAUAGGGCGGUACCUUGACGGUACCUAACCAGAAAGCCACGGCUAACUACGUGCCAGCAGCCGCGGUAAUACGUAGGUGGCAAGCGUUGUCCGGAAUUAUUGGGCGUAAAGGGCUCGCAGGCGGUUUCUUAAGUCUGAUGUGAAAGCCCCCGGCUCAACCGGGGAGGGUCAUUGGAAACUGGGGAACUUGAGUGCAGAAGAGGAGAGUGGAAUUCCACGUGUAGCGGUGAAAUGCUGUAGAGAUGUGGAGGAACACCAGUGGCGAAGGCGACUCUCUGGUCUGUAACUGACGCUGAGGAGCGAAAGCGUGGGGAGCGAACAGGAUUAGAUACCCUGGUAGUCCACGCCGUAAACGAUGAGUGCUAAGUGUUAGGGGGUUUCCGCCCCUUAGUGCUGCAGCUAACGCAUUAAGCACUCCGCCUGGGGAGUACGGUCGCAAGACUGAAACUCAAAGGAAUUGACGGGGGCCCGCACAAGCGGUGGAGCAUGUGGUUUAAUUCGAAGCAACGCGAAGAACCUUACCAGGUCUUGACAUCCUCUGACAAUCCUAGAGAUAGGACGUCCCCUUCGGGGGCAGAGUGACAGGUGGUGCAUGGUUGUCGUCAGCUCGUGUCGUGAGAUGUUGGGUUAAGUCCCGCAACGAGCGCAACCCUUGAUCUUAGUUGCCAGCAUUCAGUUGGGCACUCUAAGGUGACUGCCGGUGACAAACCGGAGGAAGGUGGGGAUGACGUCAAAUCAUCAUGCCCCUUAUGACCUGGGCUACACACGUGCUACAAUGGACAGAACAAAGGGCAGCGAAACCGCGAGGUUAAGCCAAUCCCACAAAUCUGUUCUCAGUUCGGAUCGCAGUCUGCAACUCGACUGCGUGAAGCUGGAAUCGCU